UGGCAGACAAAGGCACAGGAUCUACACCU
rnacentral:piRNA from 1 species